rnacentral:tRNA from 1 species
AGGUAUUUAGCUCAAGGGUAGAGCAUUGACCUUUUAAGUCAGUGGCUGUAGGUUCAAAUCCUUCAAUACCUA